rnacentral:rRNA from 1 species
UACGUAGGGGGCAAGCGUUGUCCGGAUUUAUUGGGCGUAAAGAGCGUGUAGGCGGCCAGGUAGGUCAGCUGUGAAAACUCGAGGCUCAACCUCGAGACGUCGGUUGAAACCAUCUGGCUAGAGUCCGGAAGAGGAGAGUGGAAUUCCUGGUGUAGCGGUGAAAUGCGCAGAUAUCAGGAAGAACACCGGUGGCGAAGGCGGCUCUCUGGGACGGUACUGACGCUGAGACGCGAAAGCGUGGGGAGCGAACAGG